UGGGGAAUAUUGCACAAUGGGCGCAAGCCUGAUGCAGCCAUGCCGCGUGUGUGAAGAAGGCCUUCGGGUUGUAAAGCACUUUCAGCGAGGAGGAAGGGUAGUGUGUUAAUAGCACAUUGCAUUGACGUUACUCGCAGAAGAAGCACCGGCUAACUCCGUGCCAGCAGCCGCGGUAAUACGGAGGGUGCAAGCGUUAAUCGGAAUUACUGGGCGUAAAGCGCACGCAGGCGGUUUGUUAAGUCAGAUGUGAAAUCCCCGCGCUUAACGUGGGAACUGCAUUUGAAACUGGUAAGCUAGAGUCUUGUAGAGGGGGGUAGAAUUCCAGGUGUAGCGGUGAAAUGCGUAGAGAUCUGGAGGAAUACCGGUGGCGAAGGCGGCCCCCUGGACAAAGACUGACGCUCAGGUGCGAAAGCGUGGGGAGCAAACA
rnacentral:rRNA from 1 species